AGAGUUUGAUCAUGGCUCAGGAUGAACGCUAGCGGCAGGCUUAACACAUGCAAGUCGAGGGGUAUAGGUUUUCGGACCUAGAGACCGGCGCACGGGUGCGUAACGCGUAUGCAAUCUACCUUUUACAGAGGGAUAGCCCAGAGAAAUUUGGAUUAAUACCUCAUAGUAUAGCUGAACCGCAUGGUUCUACUAUUAAAGUCACAACGGUAAAAGAUGAGCAUGCGUCCCAUUAGCUUGUUGGUAAGGUAACGGCUUACCAAGGCUACGAUGGGUAGGGGUCCUGAGAGGGAGAUCCCCCACACUGGUACUGAGACACGGACCAGACUCCUACGGGAGGCAGCAGUGAGGAAUAUUGGUCAAUGGACGCAAGUCUGAACCAGCCAUGCCGCGUGCAGGAUGACGGUCCUAUGGAUUGUAAACUGCUUUUGCACAGGAAGAAACAACUCUACGUGUAGAGUCUUGACGGUACUGUGAGAAUAAGGAUCGGCUAACUCCGUGCCAGCAGCCGCGGUAAUACGGAGGAUCCAAGCGUUAUCCGGAAUCAUUGGGUUUAAAGGGUCCGUAGGCGGUUUAGUAAGUCAGUGGUGAAAGCCCAUCGCUCAACGGUGGAACGGCCAUUGAUACUGCUAGACUUGAAUUAUUAGGAAGUAACUAGAAUAUGUAGUGUAGCGGUGAAAUGCUUAGAGAUUACAUGGAAUACCAAUUGCGAAGGCAGGUUACUACUAAUGGAUUGACGCUGAUGGACGAAAGCGUGGGUAGCGAACAGGAUUAGAUACCCUGGUAGUCCACGCCGUAAACGAUGGAUACUAGCUGUUGGAAGCAAUUUCAGUGGCUAAGCGAAAGUGAUAAGUAUCCCACCUGGGGAGUACGUUCGCAAGAAUGAAACUCAAAGGAAUUGACGGGGGCCCGCACAAGCGGUGGAGCAUGUGGUUCAAUUCGAUGAUACGCGAGGAACCUUACCAAGGCUUAAAUGUAGAUUGACCGGUUUGGAAACAGACUUUUCGCAAGACAAUUUACAAGGUGCUGCAUGGUUGUCGUCAGCUCGUGCCGUGAGGUGUCAGGUUAAGUCCUAUAACGAGCGCAACCCCUGUUGUUAGUUGCCAGCGAGUCAUGUCGGGAACUCUAACAAGACUGCCAGUGUAAACUGUGAGGAAGGUGGGGAUGACGUCAAAUCAUCACGGCCCUUACGCCUUGGGCUACACACGUGCUACAAUGGCCGGUACAGAGAGCAGCCACUGGGCGACCAGGAGCGAAUCUAUAAAACCGGUCACAGUUCGGAUCGGAGUCUGCAACUCGACUCCGUGAAGCUGGAAUCGCUAGUAUUCGGAUAUCAGCCAUGAUCCGGUGAAUACGUUCCCGGGCCUUGUACACACCGCCCGUCAAGCCAUGGAAGCUGGGGGUGCCUGAAGUCGGUGACCGCAAGGAGCUGCCUAGGGUAAAACUGGUAACUAGGGCUAAGUCGUAACAAGGUA
rnacentral:rRNA from 1 species